rnacentral:tRNA from 1 species
AGAGGUGUAGCUUAAUAGUGGAGUGUGUGCUUGGCAUGAACAAGGCCCUGGGUUCAAUCCCCAGCAGCACAA